UACGUAGGGUGCGAGCGUUGCCCGGAUUUAUUGGGCGUAAAGCGCGCGUAGGUGGCUUCGUAAGUCCGUUGUGAAAGUCAAAGGCUCAACCUUUGAAAGCCGGUGGAUACUGUGGGGCUAGAGUACGGAAGAGGCGAGUGGAAUUCCUGGUGUAGCGGUGGAAUGCGCAGAUAUCAGGAGGAACACCAAUAGCGAAGGCAGCUCGCUGGGACGUUACUGACACUGAGGCGCGAAAGCGUGGGGAGCGAACAGG
rnacentral:rRNA from 1 species